rnacentral:rRNA from 1 species
UCUAGAGGCUUCGUCAAUGGGGGCAACCCUGAACGAGCGACGCCGCGUGCGGGAUGAAGGGCUUCGGCUUGUAAACCGCUUUUAUUCGGGAAGAAGAUCCGAUUCGUGAAAUCGGGUUCGACGGUACCAGAUGAAUAAGCCCCGGCUAACUCCGUGCCAGCAGCCGCGGUAAGACGGAGGGGGCAAGCGUUGUUCGGAAUUAUUGGGCGUAAAGGGCGCGUAGGCGGAUCGGCGUGUCUGGCGUGAAAUCUCCACCACUCAACGGGGAGAGGCCGUCGGAAACUACCGAUCUGGAGUUCGGCAGAGGAUCAUGGAAUUCCGGGUGUAGCGGUGGAAUGCGUAGAUAUCCGGAAGAACACCGGUGGCGAAGGCGGUGAUCUGGGCCGAAACUGACGCUGAGGCGCGAAAGCUAGGGGAGCAAACGGG